rnacentral:rRNA from 1 species
UGGGGAAUUUUGGACAAUGGGCGAAAGCCUGAUCCAGCAAUGCCGCGUGUGUGAAGAAGGCCUUCGGGUUGUAAAGCACUUUUGUCCGGAAAGAAAUCCUUGGCUCUAAUACAGUCGGGGGAUGACGGUACCGGAAGAAUAAGCACCGGCUAACUACGUGCCAGCAGCCGCGGUAAUACGUAGGGUGCAAGCGUUAAUCGGAAUUACUGGGCGUAAAGCGUGCGCAGGCGGUUUGCUAAGACCGAUGUGAAAUCCCCGGGCUCAACCUGGGAACUGCAUUGGUGACUGGCAGGCUAGAGUAUGGCAGAGGGGGGUAGAAUUCCACGUGUAGCAGUGAAAUGCGUAGAGAUGUGGAGGAAUACCGAUGGCGAAGGCAGCCCCCUGGGCCAAUACUGACGCUCAUGCACGAAAGCGUGGGGAGCAAACAGGAUUAGAUACCCUGGUAGUCCACGCCCUAAAACGAUGUCAACUAGUUGUUGGGGGAUUCAUUUCCUUAGUAACGUAGCUAACGCGUGAAGUUGACCGCCUGGGGAAGUACGGUC